rnacentral:rRNA from 1 species
GAUGAAUGCUGGCGGCGUGCCUAAUACAUGCAAGUCGAACGGGUUUAGACCCGUGGCGAACGGGUGAGUAACGCGUGGGUAGCUGCUCCGAAGUCAGAGAUAACCAGCCGAAAGGUUGGCUAACACUCGAUGGUCCCGCAAGGGUAAAGUUUACGCUUCGGAAGGCGCCUGCGUCCUAUCAGCUAGUUGGUGGGGUAAUGGCCCACCAAGGCGACGAUCAGUAGCUGGUCUGAGAGGAUGAUCAGCCACUUUGGGACUGAGACACGGCCCAAACUCCUACGGGAGGCAGCAGUGGGGAAUAUUGGACAAUGGGCGCAAGCCUGAUCCAGCCAUGCCGCGUGAGUGAUGAAGGCCUUAGGGUUGUAAAGCUCUUUCGUCCGGGACGAUAAUGACGGUACCGGAAGAAGAAGCCCCGGCUAACUUCGUGCCAGCCGCCGCCGUAA